GUAGGGAAUCUUCCGCAAUGGGCGAAAGCCUGACGGAGCAACGCCGCGUGAGUGAUGAAGGUCUUCGGAUCGUAAAACUCUGUUAUUAGGGAAGAACAAAUGUGUAAGUAACUAUGCACGUCUUGACGGUACCUAAUCAGAAAGCCACGGCUAACUACGUGCCAGCAGCCGCGGUAAUACGUAGGUGGCAAGCGUUAUCCGGAAUUAUUGGGCGUAAAGCGCGCGUAGGCGGUUUUUUAAGUCUGAUGUGAAAGCCCACGGCUCAACCGUGGAGGGUCAUUGGAAACUGGAAAACUUGAGUGCAGAAGAGGAAAGUGGAAUUCCAUGUGUAGCGGUGAAAUGCGCAGAGAUAUGGAGGAACACCAGUGGCGAAGGCGACUUUCUGGUCUGUAACUGACGCUGAUGUGCGAAAGCGUGGGGAUCAAACAGGAUUAGAUACCCUGGUAGUCCACGCCGUAAACGAUGAGUGCUAAGUGUUAGGGGGUUUCCGCCCCUUAGUGCUGCAGCUAACGCAUUAAGCACUCCGCCUGGGGAGUACGACCGCAAGGUUG
rnacentral:rRNA from 1 species